GAACGCUGGCGGUAGGCCUAACACAUGCAAGUCGAACGGCAGCACAGUAAGAGCUUGCUCUUACGGGUGGCGAGUGGCGGACGGGUGAGGAAUACAUCGGAAUCUACUUUUUCGUGGGGGAUAACGUAGGGAAACUUACGCUAAUACCGCAUACGACCUACGGGUGAAAGCAGGGGAUCUUCGGACCUUGCGCGAUUGAAUGAGCCGAUGUCGGAUUAGCUAGUUGGCGGGGUAAAGGCCCACCAAGGCGACGAUCCGUAGCUGGUCUGAGAGGAUGAUCAGCCACACUGGAACUGAGACACGGUCCAGACUCCUACGGGAGGCAGCAGUGGGGAAUAUUGGACAAUGGGCGCAAGCCUGAUCCAGCCAUACCGCGUGGGUGAAGAAGACCUUCGGGUUGUAAAGCCCUUUUGUUGGGAAAGAAAAGCAGCAGGUUAAUACCCCGCUGUUCUGACGGUACCCAAAGAAUAAGCACCGGCUAACUUCGUG
rnacentral:rRNA from 1 species